rnacentral:rRNA from 1 species
CAGUCGAGCGGUAGAGAGGUGCUUGCACCUCUUGAGAGCGGCGGACGCGUGAGUAAAGCCUAGGAAUCUGCCUGGUAGUGGGGGAUAACGCUCGGAAACGGACGCUAAUACCGCAUACGUCCUACGGGAGAAAGCAGGGGACCUUCGGGCCUUGCGCUAUCAGAUGAGCCUAGGUCGGAUUAGCUAGUUGGUGAGGUAAUGGCUCACCAAGGCGACGAUCCGUAACUGGUCUGAGAGGAUGAUCAGUCACACUGGAACUGAGACACGGUCCAGACUCCUACGGGAGGCAGCAGUGGGGAAUAUUGGACAAUGGGCGAAAGCCUGAUCCAGCCAUGCCGCGUGUGUGAAGAAGGUCUUCGGAUUGUAAAGCACUUUAAGUUGGGAGGAAGGGCAUUAACCUAAUACGUUAGUGUUUUGACGUUACCGACAGAAUAAGCACCGGCUAACUCUGUGCCAGCAGCCGCGGUAAUACAGAGGGUGCAAGCGUUAAUCGGAAUUACUGGGCGUAAAGCGCGCGUAGGUGGUUCGUUAAGUUGGAUGUGAAAUCCCCGGGCUCAACCUGGGAACUGCAUUCAAAACUGUCGAGCUAGAGUAUGGUAGAGGGUGGUGGAAUUUCCUGUGUAGCGGUGAAAUGCGU